UAAAAUGAGAAAUAUUCAAACAAUCCAUGUCAGCCAACAAUUGGUCAAGACAGGAAACUGAGUGACACAGUUGAUUGGUUUCCGACAUGUAGGUCAAUCGGAUCCCUACCAAUGGCACCUAAAUGCUAUUUAAUUUCCACACAUUACUGCAGGUUGAUGCAUGCAUCUUUGUGCUCAAUAAAAGUGUUCCUUGCUCUCUCCUCAUCCCCAGCUCCACCUGUCUAGAUCUGCUUAAGCUAGGGGGGUCUUGCACACAUAUAGUAGAUUUAAAUUCUGUCUGUUUUGUGUUGUAUUUCAACAGCAGCAAUAGCAGCAGUAGCUAUAUAGCACUUGUUACUCUUGGCAGCCACUGAAUCUAACAACAGCAGCUUAAGCAGAUCUAGUCCAUCUAGACCAAGCAUAUAUCAUGCACUAAUAUGAAUAAAUCAUUUGAUAAACAUCUAAGACUUCUCUUCUGUCUGAACUGCAGUAAUAUUUGCCACAUUGACACUAAAAGCAAUGCAGCUGCUGGAAAGAGUUGGAAUUGUGUGUGAUCUGGAAUUGUGUGUGGUCUGAAAAUGCCUGCAAGAUUUAGCAUCUUGCAUUAGCUGCUAAUUGUUUUGCUCUGCUCUUCACCCUUAACUCAACUAAUAAGGAAAUUGAGAUAACAAAAGGAAGUAGGUGAGUCUUUGUUUACUGUGUAUUUUUACUGUGUAUGUGUGAUCAUUAACUUAAUCAUUGCCAUGGUCACGUUAAGGGUGGGGAACUAGAUCAAAUAACAGUAGAAGUUUGACCAAUGAAUUGUUUCUUCUUGCCAAGUCUGAUAGAAGUCUUUUUGCCAAAUCUGAUUACAGCUGCAUAAACUGACAUUGUUUCCUGCUUCCUCCAGAAUGUGUCCCUGAAUGGUAUAUAAAGCACACAGAAUCCUAUUCUCAUCACUCCAUCACUUCACCUGAUACUUAUCUACUACAGAUUCUCCAAAGGAAGCCAACUCUACACCAGUUAGCAUGAAGGUUCUCAGCAGUUAUUCUCUGCUUGUUCUUUGCUGCUACCCUUGCUGCUUCAGCAGCAGAAGUUCUAGAGACUCAAGCUGAAGAUAACACUGUUCCAGAGGAAACUUUGGAGGUAAACAAUAUGGUGGAGGACCCUUUGCCUGAAG